UACGAAGGGGGCUAGCGUUGCUCGGAAUCACUGGGCGUAAAGCGCACGUAGGCGGCUUCUUAAGUCAGGGGUGAAAUCCUGGAGCUCAACUCCAGAACUGCCUUUGAUACUGAGGAGCUUGAGUCCGGGAGAGGUGAGUGGAACUGCCAGUGUAGAGGUGAAAUUAGUAGAUAUUCGCAAGAACACCAGUGGCGAAGGCGGCUCACUGGCCCGGUACUGACGCUGAGGUGCGAAAGCGUGGGGAGCAAACAGG
rnacentral:rRNA from 1 species